CUUGUGCCAGCCGCCGCGGUAAUACAGAGGGUGCAAGCGUUAAUCGGAAUUACUGGGCGUAAAGCGCGCGUAGGUGGUUCGUUAAGUUGGAUGUGAAAUCCCCGGGCUCAACCUGGGAACUGCAUUCAAAACUGACGAGCUAGAGUAUGGUAGAGGGUGGUGGAUUUCCUGUGUAGCGGUGAAAUGCGUAGAUAUAGGAAGGAACACCAGUGGCGAAGGCGACCACCUGGACUGAUACUGACACUGAGGUGCGAAAGCGUGGGGAGCAAACAGGAUUAGA
rnacentral:rRNA from 1 species